GAUGAACGCUGGCGGCGUGCCUAAUACAUGCAAGUCGAGCGAACAGACGAGGAGCUUGCUCCUCUGACGUUAGCGGCGGACGGGUGAGUAACACGUGGAUAACCUACCUAUAAGACUGGGAUAACUUCGGGAAACCGGAGCUAAUACCGGAUAAUAUAUUGAACCGCAUGGUUCAAUAGUGAAAGACGGUUUUGCUGUCACUUAUAGAUGGAUCCGCGCCGCAUUAGCUAGUUGGUAAGGUAACGGCUUACCAAGGCGACGAUGCGUAGCCGACCUGAGAGGGUGAUCGGCCACACUGGAACUGAGACACGGUCCAGACUCCUACGGGAGGCAGCAGUAGGGAAUCUUCCGCAAAGGGCGAAAGCCUGACGGAGCAACGCCGCGUGAGUGAUGAAGGUCUUCGGAUCGUAAAACUCUGUUAUUAGGGAAGAACAAAUGUGUAAGUAACUAUGCACGUCUUGACGGUACCUAAUCAGAAAGCCACGGCCAACUACGUG
rnacentral:rRNA from 1 species